rnacentral:tRNA from 1 species
UAGGGAGACCUGCUGGAAUGACACCGAAAGCGAAAUGCGAAUAAGUGCAGACCAGACAUCCCAAGGUCGAGCGGCAUUGAUGGUUGAAUGGCUUUCAAACUCGGUCUAGGUGUGGGAGAUGGGCUAUUAGCUCAGGUGGUUAGAGCGCACCCCUGAUAAGGGUGAGGUCCCUGGUUCGAGUCCAGGAUGGCCCACCACGAAAACGGGGGUUUAGCUCAGUUGGUAGAGCGCCUGCUUUGCAAGCAGGAUGUCAGCGGUUCGAGUCCGCUAACCUCCACUGGAGCAAUGGUUGACCUAUUGAAGAUUUCAGCAACAGAUUCAGUGGAGCGAUUCGCUGGAAUGACUGCUGGGGUUUACCCAGUCAGAACCUUGAAAACUGCAUAG